GCCUCUCCCCCAGUAGUCGGCCGCACCCCGGCCACCUCGCAGGCUCACGCCGGUGUGCCCCCCCGCCGCCAAUCACCUUCUGCGCCGCCUCCCCCCUCGCGCGAGCGCCGCCUCCACCCCCACCCCCUCCUCCCCCGCGUGCGCCGCCGCCUCCAACCUCCCGCGCGCACCCUCACGCAGGCCUGGCUCGUGCUCGUGCUCUCUGCAGCCUGGCGCACGCGACCGGAGCGCGGGGGUGGCCGCGCGGCACCACCACGCGGACCGGAGCAUGGGGGCGAACGCGCGCCACCGCCACGACAAGCCGCGACCUCAACCUCGCUCGCCGACGCGACCCCCGCCUCCCCUCGGUGGCUCCCGGUUCGAACUCCUGGACGGAGUUGGUGACGACCGCCUCGGCGAGGUCGGUGGCCAGUUUUCGGUAGCCUCGGCGCCCUCGUUGGUGCGCUCGCCGCUAGACCAGUAAAUUUUUGCUGUUCACUCAUCUGAUCAGGCCAUGCGAUUGCUGUCCUGUCCUGUUCAAUUGCUGUCAUGUUAUUAUGGUGCUACUAUAUGGGUUCCAGAAAACAAGUAAAUAUCUAUGAAGUGCAGUGAUGCAAAUGCGAAUGUCUAAGAAAAGGGGACCUGUUAUGCUGAAUGCAACAUUACAUUGCUUGAUAUGAUGGGGUUUCUCAUCCUGUUUUUGCUGACUGUAGUGCUAUAGCACUAUUGUGUAACACGGCUAUUUCUGCUUGUGAUUUGUACACCUAACAUGUGUUAAUGGUAUUGCUAGAAGCUUCUAUGGUGAUGGCUUAAUAUACUAGUCCAGUUGCUUUUAUAGCUGGGGGUUAUUAUAUUUGGUUUCGUGUACAUGUUAUCAGCAUUUCAGUUGAGGUUACACAUUUGGUUCAAAUAAUCUAGCGACUUCUAACUCACUGAUGUAGUGAUGUUACACAUGUUUCAGAGGUAGUAUAGGUUCCAAUAAUAAUUGCUUGAAAAGAUAAUAUGUUUGUUAGUAUUUCUUUUGUUUCCUGAUUGAGCAGUUGAUUAGAAGACAUAUUUUGAUUUUGCAGAGUCAUCAGUGCCCGGUAAAGUUGAGUUUGUCAGUACUGCGUUUCAAAUCUGAAAGUUUAUAUAGUUUAGGGUGUAGCCAGAAUAUCAGAUGGUCUAAGUACUAGGGACCUUGCUCAAAUUAGAUUAUGAGGUAAACUUGCGCUUUAAUGUCUGAGGUUAAAUUGUAUGCUUUAAUAUCUGAGGGCCACUUGUUAUGAGCUAUUUCAACUGACUUCAAUCGCCUAUUCAGCUUGUAGCUAGCAAUGGCCAACUAUGCUCUUAUUCUAUUAGAAUAGAACACAAAUGCGUAAGUGGAUUGUGGAUAUCAUACUCUUGGAAAGGUGCAAUAGUUCCCCCACAUUUUCAGGAUCAAGUGGUUAGGUAUGAUAGGAAGGUAGCAUGUUUGUUUCUUGAAUGAUUUUUUUUGACCGCGGUACGAUUUUUUGGGAUAUGUACACCUCUGUGCCUAUAUACAUAAUUCAUCUUAUAUCAUGGAACACCUGUUAUAAAUUGGUUAUAAAUCACGUUCUAUUUUUUGCAGCCAGCAAAAUUUAAAGCAUUUAUUGAUCGUGUAAACAAUACUCCACUACAUGACAUUGCCAUACCAGUAUCAGGCUUCUGUUGGGAGUUCAAUAAGGGAAAUUUUCACCAUUGGAGGCCUCUGUUUAUGCAUUUUGAUACGUAUUUCAAGACAUGCAUCUCUUCUAGUAAGGAUCUUCUCUUGUCUGAUGAUAUGACUGAGUGUGAACCGUUGAUGCAGAUUUUGAGAGUUAUGCAAAUUGUGUUGGAAGAUUGCCAGAACAAAACAUCUUUUGCUGGCCUUGAGCAUUUUAAGAAUCUGCUGGCAUCAUCAGAUCCUGAAGUACUUGUUGCGGCUUUGGAAACUCUUGCUUCAGUGGUAAAGAUAAAUCCUUCAAAAUUACAUAUCAAUGGAAAACUAUCAACAGUGGAGCUAUAAGCAGCUCUUCUACCAUUGUCCCAAGGAUGGGGUAGCAAGGAGGAAGGUCUAGGCUUUGUAUUCGCGUGUUGUGGGAAAUGACCGAAAUCAGCUGGAGGGUUUGUGUUUAUUCCCAGCAGACAUGGACAACAAAUAUGAUGGCACACAAAAUCGUCUUGAGUCCACUCUUCAUUUUGAGUAUAAUUUGGCACCCGUCCAAGAUUCUGACCAGACCAAUGACAUGAACAAGUCAUCUAAUCUUUGUGUGAUACAUAUCCCAGACCUGCACCUUCAGAAGGAGGAUGACUUGGGCAUAUUGAAGCAAUGUAUUGACAAGUUAAUGUGCCUCUAGAGCACUGGUUUGCUUUGUAUACAAGGAUAAGAUAUGCACAUGCUUUUAAUUCCCCGAGGACAUGCAGGCUAUAUGGUCGUAUAAGUCUUCUUUCUUCCAUUGUUCUUGUGCAAUCCAGUGAUGCCCAUGACGAACUAACUCGUUCUUGACAAAUGAGCCAGAGUACACAAAUGAGUUAAUCCGGCUUGUUCGCUCAGAAGAUAAUGUUCCUGGGUCCAUCCGUGCAUUGGCUAAGCUUGUACUGGGAGCACAGUUAGCAGCAUAUGCAACAUCUCAUGAGUGAGCUGGGAUACUUGAGUGAAUUAAGUAUCAUCUCUGCUGGUGGAAACUGCAUGGUCUUGCUCAGUGUUGUGCAGAAAGCAGCAUCUUCCCUCAGUAGCCCUAGUGAUACUUCAUCUCCUUCAGUUGUUGAUGCCUUUUUGCAGUUCUUUUUGCUUCAUGUGCUGUCAUCUUCGAGUUAUGGGACCACCAGGGGUUCAGGAAUGUCCCUCUCUCCUGCAAGAUAAGGAUCCUUCUCACAUGCAUCUUGUCAGUUUGGCAGUAAAGACCCUUCAGAAGCUGAUGGACUACAGCAGCCCUGCUGUUUCCCUGUUUAAAGAUUUGGGUGGUGUAGAGCUUUUGUCUCAGAGGUUACAUGUGGAGGUGCAGCGUGUUAUUGGCGUUGCUGACAGUCUUACUUCAGUGAUUGCUAGUGAUACAUUGAAAUUGGAAGAUGACCAUUUCUACUCACAGAAGCUGCCGAUUAAGGCUUUGCUCAAGGCAUUAGGUUCUGCUACAUAUUCUCCUGCAAAUCCUGCUUGCUUUCAAAGCUCCAAUGAUAAUUCCCUUGUAUUCCAGAAUGUUGGCAAGUUUGGUGGUGAUAUUUACAUCUCGUCAGUUACUGUUACGAGUGAGAUAAUACACAAGGAUCUACAUGCUUUCCUGCAUUGAAGGAACUUGAUCUUCAUGAUGCUUCCUGUCAUCAGUAACUGCUGGGUUAUGCCAUCUUGUAGCUCUUAUAUGUGUACCCAAAGAGCAAGGAAGACAGUGAGAGAGACGAGUUCUUGAGACAGAUGCUUGAAAUGAAUGCAAGGACAGUGUCGGGUCUGAAGCGCUGCCUUGGUGACAUGAUCGCAGUGGCCGACGUGGCUAUGGUGGAGCUCGAGCCCACAAAGCGCGUGCGGGAGGUAGUGGAGACGGAGCUGCAUGGGGGCGAGGUGCAGGCCUCCAUCCCAGCCGCGUCAAAUACAGGCACUCGAGGCGACAAUCUCACAUCUCCAGUAGGAGAUCAGUAAGGUGGGCACUGAUCUGGAGCUGCUUAAGGUCAGAAACUUUGGAAGUCGAAUCAAUUUAGGCUCCUGGUCUAUUACUUAAAUAUGACGUGGUUGUCUUUAUGAUUGGAAUUGGAACUGGCGGGCUGCGCUUUUGGUACUUGAUGUAAUGUCUCCAAAGAUCAAGGAAGACAGCGAGAGACAUGGUUAUCAUGGUAAAUUGCUGAACAGAGAUGAGAAUUUUAACUAGUGAUGGUGGGACAAGAACAUUUCGUAGAAUGAAUAGAUUAGUAGAAGUAUGAAUAAAGGAGUUGCCAAUGCAAGAAACUGGAACAGAGGAACCACUGGCAAUGGUAAUACAUGGAAGAUGAGAAGGCAUAUGACAACAUAUCAGGGGUGCCAGACAUAUGUGCCGAAGCACGUGAGUUGAAGAUCAGCCAGCUCCAAUGCCCUGUCUGGUGUAGUUCAUGGCAGCAAGAAAAGCCACCUGGUCCCAGCUUGGUGCAGUCGUACAUGUCGGAACAGACGGUGGAGUUGGUGCAGCUGGUGGCGGUGCAGGCUGGUAGAACACCGCAGAGUCAGUUGGUGGAAGGCUGGUGCCAGGGCAUGGGUGGUGCAGGGGCGCGGACGUGGUGUAUGCCUGUGGUGGCUGUUGUGGUCCCAGAAGACCAGGUGCUCCAGUAUGCCUGCACGACACCGGUCCACGGAUCAGCUGAUGGUGGUCGCCACGACAGAGUGGCUGGAGGUGUUGAACUGCUCUUGGUGCGCUGGAGGAUGGAGCCGAGGAAGCAAUUAUGUCUACAUUUUCAAAAUAGUACUAUAACAGAAUCACUUUUCUACCUGUUCUUGUUUAUGCCCAUUUGGCAUUCUCAACAGAAGGUUUCUGUAGACUUAGCUGAGAGGCGCUCCGGACCGCCAUCAGCAGAUGGUAUGCAAGACAAGUCAGUAGAAGGCAGUUUGAACAGACGACUUGUGUGAGCUCGGCCGAGAGGUGCUAUGGACAUCCUUCUUGAAAAUAAAAAAGGGUUUUCUCUCCAUUCCUUGUUAGGAAGUAUUGUACAUGUAUAUACGGUAUGAAUAUAAACCGUAUAUACGUCUGGUAGGAUUAUGUGUGUUGCGUGGGUCAUUGUAAUCAGGUAGUUGCGGUUGUUAGGAUUCAUCCUCAUCUCUGUAUAGCUUUCUUCAGGAUCAAUCCAACACCAACCGAACUACCAUAUCUUGUAAACCUGUCGAUCUAUAUAACAUGCAACGCGUCCCAGCCAGAGGCAUACGCUUCAACCAA